CAACCGGCCUUUAUCGAGGCCACAAAAACAUCAUUUAUACCUAUG
rfam:Leadbetterella byssophila DSM 17132, complete genome.